rnacentral:rRNA from 1 species
GACGAACGCUGGCGGCGUGCCUAACACAUGCAAGUCGAGCGGAGACAGUGAGUAGCUUGCUACGAACUGUUUUAGCGGCGGACGGGUGAGUAACGCGUGAGCAACCUUUCCCAGACAGGGGAAUAACACACCGAAAGGUGUACUAAUACCACAUAAGACCACGGGAUCACAUGAUUCUGAGGUAAAAGAUUUAUCGGUUUGGGGUGGGCUCGCGUCCGAUUAGGUAGUUGGUGAGGUAACGGCCCACUAAGCCGACGAUCGGUAGCCGACCUGAGAGGGUGAUCGGCCACAUUGGGACUGAGACACGGCCCAAACUCCUACGGGAGGCAGCAGUGGGGAAUAUUGGGCAAUGGAGGAAACUCUGACCCAGCAACGCCGCGUGGAGGAAGAAGGUUUUCGGAUCGUAAACUCCUGUCCUUGGAGACGAGUAGAAGACGGUAUCCAAGGAGGAAGCCCCGGCUAACUACGUG